rnacentral:rRNA from 1 species
UACGUAGGGGGCAAGCGUUGUCCGGAUUUAUUGGGCGUAAAGAGCGUGUAGGCGGCCAUACAGGUCCGUUGUGAAAACUCGAGGCUUAACCUCGAGACGUCGAUGGAAACCGUAUGGCUAGAGUCCGGAAGAGGAGAGUGGAAUUCCUGGUGUAGCGGUGAAAUGCGCAGAUAUCAGGAAGAACACGCGUGGCGAAGGCGGCGCUCUGGGACGGUACUGACGCUGAGACGCGAAAGCGUGGGGAGCGAACAGG